UGAAGUCAAUCACACUAGUUUCUGGAGUAAAAAGAGACCAAGCAUAUUCAGUGAAGAGAUCACAGUAAAUACACAAGAAAAUCUCCCAAAGCAGACUGCGAGCCAUAUGACCCCACUUAUGGUUAAGAGGUUUUGGUUUCUUCUCAACAAUGAGCGUCCCAUCCAACACCAGUUCAUAUGUCAUCAGAAGCAGCAACUACAAAGAAGAGGAAGCUUUCCUUGGGAUAGUUGAUGGUAUAUUUUAGAAGUAUUGCUUGUCUAACUGUGACAUGAAUAUGUUGUUAACAUAAAGUGUUUUCUUAAUGUUUAUGUUCAUAUUUUGUUAACCGUUGAGCUUUACAUAAAGAGUUAUAGACUGUUUUGAAGUCAUGUUAUUGUAUGUUCAUAUUGUAAAUGAA